GAAAUGCGAUAAGUAAUGUGAAUUGCAGAAUUCAGUGAAUCAUCGAAUCUUUGAACGCACCUUGCGCUCCUUGGUAUUCCUUGGAGCAUGCCUGUUUGAGUAUCAUGAAAUCUUCAAAGUAAAUCUUUUGUUAACUCAAUUGGUUUCUACUUUGGUAUUGGAGGUCUUUGCAGCUUCACACCUGCUCCUCUUUGUUCAUUAGCUGGAUCUCAGUGUUAUGCUUGGUUCCACUCGGCGUGAUAAGUUAUCUAUCGCUGAGGACACUGUAAAAGGUGGCCAAGGUAAAUGCACAUGAACCGCUUCUAAUAGUCCAUUGACUUGGACAAUACUUUUAUGAUCUGAUCUCAAAUCAGGUAGGACUACCCGCUGAACUUAAGC
rnacentral:misc_RNA from 1 species